GGAGAAGUGGCCGAGCGGUCGAAGGCGCACGAUUGGAAAUCGUGUGAGUUUAAGCUCCGUGGGUUCGAAUCCCACCUUCUCCGCCA
rnacentral:tRNA from 1 species